rnacentral:rRNA from 1 species
UACGGAGGAUGCAAGCGUUAUCCGGAAUGAUUGGGCGUAAAGCGUCCGCAGGUGGCGAUUCAAGUCGAUUGUCAAAGGUCGUGGCUCAACCACGAACAGGCAGUGGAAACUGAACAGCUAGAGUGCGGUAGGGGUAGAGGGAAUUCCCGGUGUAGCGGUGAAAUGCGUAGAGAUCGGGAAGAACACCAGUGGCGAAAGCGCUCUACUAAGCCGCAACUGACACUCAGGGACGAAAGCUAGGGGAGCGAAUGGG